UACGUAGGGGGCAAGCGUUGUCCGGAAUCAUUGGGCGUAAAGAGCGUGUAGGCGGUCUGUUAAGUCGGUUGUGAAAGUCCAGGGCUCAACCCUGUGAUGCCGACCGAUACUGUCGGACUAGAGUUCGGAAGAGGCGAGUGGAAUUCCCGGUGUAGCGGUGAAAUGCGCAGAUAUCGUGAGGAACACCUAUGGCGAAGGCAGCUCGCUGGGACGUUUCUGACGCUGAGACGCGAAAGCGUGGGGAUCAAACAGG
rnacentral:rRNA from 1 species